ACUCCUACGGGAGGCAGCAGUGGGAAUGAUUGGACAAUGGCGAAGCCUGAUCCAGCCAUGCCGCGUGUGUGAAGAAGGCCCUCGGGUUGUAAAGCACUUUCAGUGAGGAAGAACGCUUGUGGCUAAUACCCUGCAAGGAAGACAUCACUCACAGAAGAAGCACCGGCUAACUCCGUGCCAGCAGCCGCGGUAAUACGGAGGGUGCGAGCGUUAAUCGGAAUUACUGGGCGUAAAGCGCAUGCAGGCGGCCUGUUAAGUCAGAUGUGAAAGCCCGGGGCUUAACCUCGGAAUUGCAUUUGAAACUGGCAGGCUAGAGUCUUGUAGAGGGGGGUAGAA
rnacentral:rRNA from 1 species